UUUUCUCUCAAAGACGGAAGAAAAAAGAAAAUAUCCGGAAACCCAAAGAAAUUUCAAUCUUUUGCUCGAGGUUAUCGAAAACUUGUUCUUUCGAGAUUUCGAAAUCCCUAUUAUUUCAACACUUGAAUCACACAAACACAGUCUUGAAAUCUCUAAUUUUCUCUUGCAGACAUUAAAAGGGUUCUUUGAUUUCUGAAGAUGGAAUUUGAGGAAGAGAUGGAAUAUCAAUAAAAUGGGGAGCAAGGCGAGCAUUCCAAUUCCGUAACUACUGGUGAUUUUUUUUUUUUUUGGUACUGUUAUAUUUAGAUGUAUUUUUAGGUAAUGUGUACAAAAUGCUUACGUUACUCUCUAAGCAGUUGUUGUCCUUCAAAAGAGAAAGGUGCGAGGUGAUACCACUUUUGCAUCUUUCAUUGGAAAGAACAUAGAGGAGCAAGAUAAGAAAAUAGUUAAUUAUACCUUUGAAGCACUUUUUAUUUUUAACAGUGCUUAA